GACGAACGCUGGCGGCGUGCUUAACACAUGCAAGUCGAACGGAAAGGCCUCUUUCGGGGGGUACUCGCGUGGCGAACGGGUGAGUAACACGUGAGUAACCUGCCCUUUACUUUGGGAUAACUUCAGGAAACUGGGGCUAAUACCGGAUAGGAGCUCCUGCUGCAUGGUGGGGGUUGGAAAGUUUCGGCGGUUGGGGAUGGACUCGCGGCUUAUCAGCUUGUUGGUGGGGUAGUGGCUUACCAAGGCUUUGACGGGUAGCCGGCCUGAGAGGGUGACCGGCCACAUUGGGACUGGGAUACGGCCCAGACUCCUACGGGAGGCAGCAGUGGGGAAUAUUGCACAAUGGGUGGGAGCCUGAUGCAGCAACGCCGUGUGCGGGAUGACGGCCUUCGGGUUGUAAACCGCUUUCGCUCAUGACGAAGCUUUGUGUGACGGUAGUGGGUAAAGAAGCACCGGCUAACUACGUG
rnacentral:rRNA from 1 species